ACACCUGUGAAGUGUUUGUCCAACUGCACAAUGUACUUGAUGAGAAGGAGUCCCAUUUAUUCCAAGUUUUACCCAGAGCUGUGGGAAUGAUAAACAUGCUUUGCAGGAAAGAACAGCACAGUGGGAAGCUCCCAUCAUCUGAAUUAAUACACCAAUUAUGAACUGUGUUGGAAGUAAACAGUUUGAUCAUUUCUGUACCUUAUGCUGAAAGCUAAAGUGCCUCAUUAAGACAAGAACUGAAGUCUCAUUGCAUAUUUUAGCUGUCCAUGUACUUGUGAUGAGAAAGUUCAGUGAUAAAUCUGGCAACUGCUCACUCCUCCAUGGGCAACUAUUCGUUCUGAAUGAAACAUUAAACAGAGUUUUUGACAUGCUCAAAUAUUUCAACAGCUCCAUUGCUAAUUAUUUAUGGCAAGAGAGUUAAUAUUGCUCUUCACAGUAGCAGUGACUUUUCAGGAUUUAGGGUGGGGGACUUAUUUGACAGUAUGAUUAUUUGCAACCUUGAAAAUGAGAAUAUUCUUUCUUAGAGUGGUCAGGGGUGCCUGUAAGGGUAGUUAGAUAGAAGUCAUCAUGAUGUCCAAAGUAUAUGCCAAAUGAGUGCCAUCAAACAUAGAAAAAUGUCCCAAUUUAGAGUAGUUUGUAAAAUGACUGCAAAGUGACAUAGUUGUUUGUGUGUGUAUAUUAAUUAUUGAGAGGGCAAAAUAAAUUAAAGCAGCCCUUCACCAGGAUAAUAUAGCCAGUAGGGGAUCAGAUAAGAAGAAAAUAAACUUCUGUAAUUGAUAUUUUUUCUAAUCAAGGAGUGGAAACCAAAGAUUGGAUCUAUGUUUUAUGUGUCAGAAAAGAACUGGUGCCCCCUAAAGAAGCCCCCUUACUACUCUUUCACUUUAGUCUCCAUCCACCAGUGUGUGCCAAGAACCACCCUGCUGGAGAACUGCUUGGCAGAAAAGGACCUGGGGUUCUGUUGGAGCCCAAGUUCAAAAUGAGCCAGCAAUGUCUCCUUCCCUUGAAGGUGGCUGGUGGGAGCAUCAUUGCCAGCAGAUCAAAGGAAAGGUGAUUCUCCCCCUCUGCUCACUGCUGAUGAGGCCACAACUGGAUGCUGUGUGCAGUGUUGGAUUCCCCAGUGUGAGAGAGCUCAGGAACUGCUGGAGAGAUCCUUAUAAAGGGCUGCAAAGGCAUUACAAGGCUGGAGGAUCUGUUCUAUCAGGAAAGGCUGAGUGAGCUGGGACUGUGCAACCUGCAGAAGAGAAGGCUCAGGGGAAUCUGUCAAAGUGUAUAAAUAUCUGAAGAGAGUGUGCAAAGAAAACAAAGCCAGCUCUUUUCAGUGCUGUCCAGUGACAUUACCAGUGGCAAUGGGCACAAAAAGGAAACACAGGAGGCUCUACCAGAGCAUCAGGAAACACCCUCUUGACUGUGAGGGUGACCAAACACUGGCACAGAUUGCCCACUGGGGUUGUGGUGUCUCCAUCCUUGGAGAUCCUCAGGAGCUGUCUGGAACUGGUUAUAGGUGGCCACGCUUGAGAAGGGGGUUUGGGUCACAUCCCCUCCAUAGGUACCUUCCAACCCCAAUCAUUCUGUGGCCCUGUGAUGGCUAUCCACAUUAAAUUGAAUAAUAAAAUUCUGUCUGUACCAAGAAAAAUAUUAAAAAACCCAGGUCCAUAAAGAGUGCAAACACUGUUUAUGUUUCACAGAAGCUCUUACUCAGCAGUCUUCUAUUCUAUAUAUAAUUACAUAUACAAAAAUAAGAAAGAUGCAUUUAAUAAUAUAUG